CCUACGGGUGGCAGCAGUGGGGAAUAUUGAACAAUGGGGGCAACCCUGAUCCAGCCAUGCCGCGUGUGUGAAGAAGGCCCUCGGGUUGUAAAGCACUUUCAGUGAGGAAGAACGCCUGGUGGUUAAUACCCAUCAGGAAAGACAUCACUCACAGAAGAAGCACCGGCUAACUCCGUGCCAGCAGCCGCGGUAAUACGGAGGGUGCGAGCGUUAAUCGGAAUUACUGGGCGUAAAGCGCGCGUAGGUGGCUUGAUAAGCCGGUUGUGAAAGCCCCGGGCUCAACCUGGGAACGGCAUCCGGAACUGUCAAGCUAGAGUGCAGGAGAGGAAGGUAGAAUUCCCGGUGUAGCGGUGAAAUGCGUAGAGAUCGGGAGGAAUACCAGUGGCGAAGGCGGCCUUCUGGACUGACACUGACACUGAGGUGCGAAAGCGUGGGUAGCAAACAGGAUUAGAUACCCCUGUAGUC
rnacentral:rRNA from 1 species